ACAGAGCAAAUAUUAACCCUAUAAAGCUACUGUGUCAUAUCUGAUACACAAAUUUCUGAGGCCUCUAAAUUAUCAACAUGAUCAAAACUUUGCUGAAAAACCUGUUCUACAAUCUACUAUAUUCUUUCUGUUGUCUGAUUGAUAGUUUGUACUUUUUAGUAAGUAAAAAGCCUUUUAGUGUAUUUAUGUUGGCUUGGGAAAGCCAACAUAUUGAUAUUCUACUUUAACAUAUUAUUAUUAUAUUUCUUCUGAGACUAAAUUUUCUGACUGCUACUCCUCCUAGAGCUUUAAUGCUACAAGCCCCAAAGUCUCCACAGUCCUUGGCUCUAAUAUGUAGUUAGUUGCUAGAUCUUUUUAGACCGAUCAGAGUUACAGUAUUUGAAUAAUUUAUCAAAGUUAAUUUUUUUUCCCAUUGACUUCCUUUCAUUUGAUGAAAAUGCACCUCCAGAGGAGCAGUUCCGCCCAAUAUAGUUCCGCCAACAUAAAUCAUUCGCUCAUGCAUUCACUUUCGAUUUCGUCAGUUCGUCAUUUCUGUUUUAAAGCUUGUCAGUUUGAACCAUUCUAGCGACUGUAUUAAUAUACAAGCAAUUGAAAACAUGAGAUACUUUUAGAGCUUAAAAGAUGUUUAGUGUGAUAAAUAGAGAUGCGCUCACGAGUCUCAUGUAACCCAGGCAGCGGCCGCGAGGCUGCUGCUCUCAGAGCACGAGACGCUCAUGCAUUCGGGCAGAUGAGAGAAAAAUAGAGAGACAACUGCACGGAGCGAUGAAAACGUUAAUAUAGAGUGAAAAGUGAUUAAAUACGACUGAAAGAUCAGAUUUCUGAACGGAUGCGACAAUGGGAAGAAGCUUUGCACGUCUUACACCUUGUAUGGUAACGGAUGGAGUCUUUUCCCAGGAAGUCGAACUCCACCACGUAGUCCUGUCCAUCCAGCUGAGGGUAUAGUUUGAUGUGCUCCACGCGCAGAGAGCAGCAGCCCACCGUAUCGGCCGUCUCUCCCUCAUCCUUCUCAUUACCAGCCCUCAGUGCCAACUACACACCAAACACACACACAGCACACACCAAGAGUCACAGAAGGCCUUUUUCAUAGAAAUCUUAGCAAAAACAUUCAUUUAUUUCUAGAGGAUGGAAAAUGUUCUAAAAAUUAUGAUGCCAGAAACGAUGCAAGGAACUUUAAUAAUUAAAGUUAAAGUAACCAUGAAAUCAAAAUAGACAUUUCUUAUUUUUUUAUGGAAUAUUGCAGUGUUUAUUCUAAAUGAUUUAUCAGUGCACAACAUUAUUUUAAUUCAUGUCCCUUUUAAUCUUGAAUCAGAAUAACUUCCUGACAGAAUAAUCAAAGAAGAACAACUGAUAUAAUCAAAAUCAGAACAACUUUACUGGCAUGAGUGCGGGGCAACCUGUCACUCACAUGAGAUCCACCAAUAGCAAACCACAACCAUCCAAUCAAUUCCUCAUGGAUAAAAUCCAGCCCCGCCCUACAUUUGUUCUUGUUCCAGAAGCUGUUUCACUCGGAUAUACGCCACAACAGGGAAGAAAAGAAUAUCGCAACUUCUGUUUCAUGGUGACUGUAAACAUUAUAUGUUAAAUCAUUAGUUCUCAACUGGAUGGUUGAAGGUCUGUUCUGACGAGUUGCAAACAACAACAAAAAAAACUAUGCUAAAUGCAACUCACCAUAUUUAGGAUGGAAAAAUAAGUUUAUCUCACUUUUAUCAAAGGUAGAGGAUCUUUUGUUGUUGAUCUAUAGCAAAAUGUACAACAAAUAAAUGCACUAGGAAGAAGUGAUUAGACAGAUAUCAACAAAAAAUGUUUUGAUGAAUUACUGGCUGCAGAUAUCAAUGUUAUUUUUUAUUAUUAUAAUUAAUAAUAUUUUAAUAAAAAAUAUAAUUAUUUUAACUUAAUAAAAUUAUUAUUUUAAUUAACAUUAACCUACUUUAACAAUAUUAAGGAAUUUGUCAAUGUGAAACAAACAUCUGUGUUACAUCACCAGCUGGAGUGCCCCAUGAUCUCCAUCAGAGGGCACUCCCCUCCAGACUCCUUUGCUAUCUCAUCAUGAACUACAUUUCCCAUAACUCCUUGCCUGGACUCAUUAUGAUUUGAUUACUUCCACCUGUGUGUCAUUUGAUUAUUAACUUUGGCCUAUAUAAGCUCUGUAGCUGUAUCUCAUUUUGAAGGAUGCGUCCUCCGGAGGUUGCAUUCGAAGGUUGCAUACGUCAUUGAGGCUGUAUCAUUUCAGAAAAGUAAGUAAGAUACACCGAAUGCGACCUUCGAAUGCGCCCUUCUUUCGCAGGAAUUCGGAGGAUGCAUGAGGUGUAUCCUUCGCUGCUGCAGAUAGCCCACAAUUCUUUGUGUCACUGUUAACAACCGUCAUUAAUUUUCAUUCAUUUAACUGUUGUGAGAGCGCAAUGAGUACUACGUGUUGGCAUAGCAAUGUGAUACUUCCUGUUUCCUUUCCUGCCCAUGUGUCCUACGAAGGUCUCGUUUAAUUCUGGUUAAGGAUACUCCGUAUCCCACAUCCUUCACAGGAUGCGUCCUCUGGAGGAUGCAGCCUUCAAAAUGAAAUGAAAUGAGACCGCUUGUGUUUCCAAUCACACUUUGUAAAGUCUUGUUUGUGUUACCACUGCAUUUCUGAUCGUGGUUUGGUUUCAUAUUCUAUGAUUUUGAUCAUCUGUCUGUUUUCUGAAUUGCCUUGUUUUCCUGUGUCUUGGUUCUUGUUUGAUGUUUUGAUUAUUUACCCUGUGUUUUUGACCCUUGAUCCUGAAUAAAGCUGCAUUUGGAUCUCCUAACUGUGUUUCAGGGCAGUUCGUAACAAUUUGAUUAAGGCAAUUUUGUUUACUAAUAACUGGUUUUGUGUUGGGACACCAAGUGGAUCCUGACUCCUGAAAUAAAACCAACUGAGGACCACUGUUAAAUAUUUUAAGUAUUUAUAGGAUAUGUCCAAUAUAUCUUACUUUAAUGAGGAUUCACUAUUGCAAUUUUGUUUGCAGAAGCUUUCCUUAACAGAUGAACAGAUACUUUUUAAAAGUAAUGAUUUAAACAGCUGAUCACAAUCAGAAUGUGUGUAAUGAAGUGAGACCUUGUCAAUGAAAUAAAGUGCCACGGCUCUCUGUCUGA